rnacentral:rRNA from 1 species
UCGCGGCCUAUCAGCUUGUUGGAGAGGUAACGGCUCACCAAGGCAUCGACGGGUAGCUGGUCUGAGAGGAUGAUCGGCCACACUGGGACUGAGACACGGCCCAGACUCCUACGGGAGGCAGCAGUGGGGAAUCUUGCACAAUGGGCGAAAGCCUGAUGCAGCAACGCCGCGUGCGGGAAGAAGGCCCUAGGGUCGUAAACCGCUUUCAGUAGGGAAGAAAAUGACGGUACCUACAGAAGAAGGUGCGGCCAACUACGUGCCAGCAGCCGCGGUGACACGUAGGCACCAAGCGUUAUCCGGAUUUAUUGGGCGUAAAGAGCUCGUAGGCGGUUCGGUAAGUCGGGUGUGAAAACUCUGGGCUCAACCCAGAGACGCCACCCGAUACUGCUGUGACUAGAGUGCGGUAGGGGAGCGGGGAAUUCAUGGUGUAGCGGUGAAAUGCGCAGAUAUCAUGAGGAACACCAGCGGCGAAGGCGCCGCUCUGGGCCGUAACUGACGCUGAGGAGCGAAAGCGUGGGUAGCAAACAGGAUUAGAUACCCUGGUAGUCCACGCCGUAAACGUUGGGCACUAGGUGUGGGUCUCAACCAAAAGAGAUCCGCGCCGUCGCUAACGCAUUAAGUGCCCCGC